rnacentral:rRNA from 1 species
ACUCCUACGGGAGGCAGCAGUGGGGAAUAUUGCACAAUGGGGGAAACCCUGAUGCAGCCAUGCCGCGUGUGUGAAGAAGGCCUUCGGGUUGUAAAGCACUUUCAGUAGGGAGGAAGGUAGUGUAGUUAACACCUGCACUAUUUGUACGUUACCUACAGAAGAAGCACCGGCUAACUCCGUGCCAGCAGCCGCGGUAAUACGGGAGGGUGCGAGCGUUAAUCGGAAUUACGUGGGCGUAAAGCGCAUGCAGGCGGCCUGUUAAGUCAGAUGUGAAAGCCCGGGGUCUUAACCUCGGAAUUGCAUUUGAAACUGGCAGGCUAGAGUCUUGUAGAGGGGUUAGAAUUUCAGGUGUAGCGGUGAAAUGCGUAGAGAUCUGAAGGAAUACCAGU